rnacentral:misc_RNA from 1 species
UGCUGCACAGGUUCACGUUUCUUAGAGUUUCGACCUUGGGGAUACCUCCUUUCAAUACAAAGAAAGGUUCCUUGUCUUCCUGGACCAGUUACAUUAUAUUUAUGAUCAAACUUCAGCGGAAGUGGAUAAGCCAAUUGCAGAGGCUUCUUAUACACAACCACGCCUGGGCAAGCACCAUUUUGUGAUAGCCACCAUGGAAUAUUAGUCAGCGCUGAAAUAUGUUGUAGCAUCUAUGUGAACUUUGCUUUCUAUCUGCCUGCUAGCUCCAGUGAGAAAUCAAAUUUGUUAACUCAA